UAAUCUGUCAUCAAACAAACUAACAACAUGUGCUUGGUAUGAUUUCCCUCGCAUCAUGAGAAGACUAAUAUAUCCUCAUAUGUACUUGUUUGGCUUCCCUUCGCCGCUGCUAUGCUCUUGUGAUGGUUCUUCUAUGUGGGAGCCAGCCCGCCGCCGCCGCCGCCGCCGCCCAGCUCCAGGAUCGCCCCACCAUGGUGGCUCUCCAGAGAGAGCUCACGGUGGUGGACUGGGACGGUGGGACCCCAACAGCCGAAGGUCCUACUGCUCCUGGCGCGGCGUCACCUGCACUGGCCCGAACCAAACGGUGGAGGCGCUCGACCUCCCUCGCCGCAACCUCCGAGGGAUGAGCCAAUCAGCUUGCGUUCAUACAACUGACAGGCAAGAUUUCUGAAAACUAUACUUCUGCUCUCCUGUCUCAGUUUUCAUGCGAUCAUCAUAAGAUAACCGAUCAGUGGCACGACCAUCUUCAAUAUGGGCAUGUCAUACUCUCCACCAAAGGAUCUUCCCAUUUAAAGAUAUUGGUGUCAUGUUUGGGGAGAGAACAAGUUCAACAACAACGAUCAAGAGCUCAGUUUCUACAGAUCAAUUGAGAGCUCAGUUUCUACAGAUCAAUUGAGAGAAUCCAUUCCAAGAGCAGCCAGUCUAAAAUAGCAUUACAAACAGUGUGGGCAAUUUCCAAAAACAUCAUUAAUAUUCACACCCCAAGCGUUGGCAUCCUUCGGCCCUUUGUCUCUUAAAAUCUGUAUAAGUGAUGGAUAUCAUGACUCGCUGUAUUUGAAUUACUGUCAUUGA